GGUGUGUUCUGACAAGUUGGCGCGGUAUAGUCACAAUCGGGUAUUUCGGGCUGAACCGGGUUCGGGGCCGAAAUAUAAUUUUGGGAUAAAUUAUUGGCAUUUUAUUUAUGUGUGAAUAAUCUGAAAUUAUUUAAAUAUGUGUUAUAUAUGAAAUGAAUUCAAUGCCCUUGAUUGUUUGAGUAUGUGAGAAAUGGCCCUAGGGGCAAAAUGGUAAAUUGUAUUUUUGGAUUUAUUUUCAACUAAAGGCAUUAUUUGUAAAAAAAUGAAAUUCAUUUUCUGCAUUUACCUUAACCCUAAAACAGCCCCCUUCCCUCUCUCUCUCUAUCUCUCUUUGUAUUUGGUUGAAAAAUUGGUGAUUUGCUUGGUAUACAAGCUUGAAAUUGAAGAAUUGUUUGAGGAGUUGUGGCUUGAUCAUUGCAUUGAAGCUUGAGGAUUACCGGCACUUGGUCAGGAGCACCCGGGGAUUUGGAAUCUCCAUAUUUGUGGGACAUCAGGAAAGGGUAAAUCUAUCUCUGAUCAGCCAUGAGUAUGGGAGUUGGGCGAUGUAUGUACAUGUUCGGGCCACACUAGACCAAGCGGGUUAGGGUCUACCUGCGUUGAAACUUUUGUAACUCUAUUUUUGCCGCUUAGGUCGGCUAAGGAGAAAAGACUUGUAAUAUUUUAUAAAAUGAUUUUUUUGGGAUCCCGAAACAUGUAACUUUUGUUUGUAAGGUUAAAAUUAUUACAAGUUUAUUUUCAUUCCGUUUUCGUUUAAAGUUUUAA